GGGGGGGAAGGAGGGAGCCGAGCUGUUGAGUCAACACUGCAGAGCUGCCUGCGAGAGCAGCCGGAGGCACAGCCGGGCUGGCUGCGAAGGACGCGUUUGCGGAGCCCACGGGAAAAUGGUUUGAGUAAUAAUCAACGCCUGCCGCUAUGUGGCCAGGAAGAUGAGGAGCCUGUGCAGCCGGGAGCCCCGGGAGCCACCGCCCUGCCCGGCGCAGGCAGCGCCCCAAAGCCAGCACCAGAAUGUAAAACCAGAGCUACCAGCACCUCCUGAAGCACCAGCCUCACUCCCCAGCAACAUCAAACCCAUCCAGUGCAGGUCCUGACGAUAAAACCCUCGUGGUCCUCCCAUGAAAGCCACGAGAUUUCUUCCCACUGGUUUUUGCUGGAAAUCCUGUAUCCCAGGGAUUGGAAAAUAUCAGCAAAUCCCUGCUGGAUCUGCUCUCGGCACAGAAGCACAUUGAUAGAAAAUGUCCUGAUCAGUGUCUCAUGACCAGAAAUUUCUAGUUGGCAGGAAAAAAAGAAGAUUCCCAAUGUGUGUCAGAUGCUCCUGGCACCCGUGGGCCAUGGAAUACCAGGGGAAGAGCAGGAGCCAUUGCAUCCUAGCAGGGAAAGAGAUUUUUAUACUGUGAAACCAAAUUAUGCUCCCGGUGAUAUUGGUACAAAUUCAGACCAUUUCCACAAAGGUUCCAAAGCGGUUCCUGAGCUGGAAUAAGGAGUUUUGGGGCUCGGGUGUGUGGGAAUCCCUUUCCCCAUGGCCAGUGAGCCCCCAGGUGAUGUGCAGCACCCCCAGAGCAGAGGCUGCAGGGAUGACAGCAGGAUGUGCCCCCAACCCUGCCCUGUCACAGAGCAAUGACAGCAGAGCCCCAAACCCCAGCGGUGUGGGGGGGAUUCUGCCUGACCCCUCCUGUGACAGCUCAGCCAGAAGUAAAGGUGGAUGAGAAUCA